UACUUGUACUUGGUGGCGACCGGCGCACGGGUGCGUAACGCGUAUGCAACCUACCUUAUACUGAGGGAUAGCCCAGAGAAAUUUGGAUUAAUACCUCAUAGUAUCAUUUUGAAGACAUCUGAGAAUGAUUUAAAGAUUUAUCGGUAUAGGAUGGGCAUGCGUAAGAUUAGUUAGUUGGCGAGGUAACGGCUCACCAAGACUUCGAUCUUUAGGGGUUCUGAGAGGAUGAUCCCCCACACUGGUACUGAGAUACGGACCAGACUUC
rnacentral:rRNA from 1 species